GCCUAUCAUUGUGUUCCUGGCAUUUUUUUGUCCUGAGAAGAUAAAUUUUGAAAGCUAAGUGUAUUAUAUUUUUCACAAUAUCAUAUAUGUGUAUGCACAUUAAGUGUUAGAUUCAUUUUCACAUUUAAAUCUGUAAGAACAAAAUGCCAGCUGUUAAGACAUCUAGUAAUUAUUUAGUGAUCAUUAUGGAUUUUACUUUGUUAGGAGACCGAGAUACAUAGUAGCUCUUAUUUACACAGAGAAUCCAAAUUUCAUUCAAUUUUGGUUACAAAUCUUUGAUAGCAUGAUAAAAUACACUCUGCAUGUACUCAUUCAUUUUAAAAAAAUGAAAUUGGUUUGUUUUCCCUUUUUCAAAAUAACAAGAAGUUCAUCCACAUCAAAUGGACAGUAGAUACAUUCCACUGAAAAAUGAUUUUGCAAAAACAUAUUGAGCUGCUGAAUCAAAUAAAUAACAAUAAUAAAGCACCUUUGAUUACUAAUCUUUAUUGUGUCUCUGCCCUCUGAGCUAAAAUGAUAUUGUAUAGUUUCUACACCAGGACUGCAUGGGUCAUUGCAAUUCCUAGUGGAUUUUUAAACAAUUGAGCUACAACCUCUGAAAGCAGAGAAUCAUCGUGGAAAUGCUGACACAGCUAUAACCAUUGCGGUGUGAAUGGCAUUGCUGGAUGAUGCAUGCUAUUAGUCAUUGUAGAUAGAACUGGCCCGGCUGAAUUUUGCAAACUUUAACGAAAGAGAAGUCUUUGACAUUUCAGCAAGAGAUGGAAGUGUCUUACGUGCUUUUACUUGUAUGGUGUGAAAAGAGGUGUGUUGCCGUGUUUAUUACCAGGGUCCUCUCAAGCUACCUUUCCCUGGCGUCUGUCCAAGUGGCCAAUUAGAGGCAACAGGGAUGUAUCCCAGAUACACCAGGGAUCCACUGCCAUUAAAAAACAACAUAAAUCAAUUUUCUUGAAUGAGGGGAAUUGAUUUUCCUUCAUGAACAUCAACAUAUAACACCCAUGACCUUCUUUGCAUCUACUUGUCAUGACAGAAGUCAUCUCCUGAUAAUUCAUUGUACCAGAAGAUUACAUUCAACAUGCAGGUUAACCAUCCUCUGCCUUCAAGACAAUGACAUGCAGGACAUUUGCUGAUAAAACAAGGGUGCUGGGAUAAGGUGUCUCGUCUGGUUGCUAGGUACAAGGAGGUAAAAGCAACAUUGGACACUGCUACUUUUGCUGGCCACUGAGCAUACUACAUGGUUUUGUUGUAUUUACUGCCUGAGAAAUGCCCGAAAGCCACCAGGCCACCUGCCUACACAGACUGUGGGGAAUAUAAACAAAUAAUACAGGUUAGAUAUAUUUGAAAUAUACACAGAAAAUAGAGGUCAUUGAACUCACAGGUUCCUGAGGUUUUUACUGAAGUGCUUUUAUGAUUUAACAUAAAAUCAUAGUUAUUUAAUUAUUUUAUUUUUGGAAACCCAUUUUUAUUUUCUGAUAAAAUAAUUUAGCAGCAGUGAACUAGUUUAUGAGAAUUUACUUUUUUUUAAAGUUUUUAUUAUAAUUCUUUCAUAUUUUUAACUUUUCUGCUUUUGUUUCAGGGAUUUUUUUUGUCUUUCAUUUUUAUUUUCUAUACAUUUUUUUCUUUCUAAUUUUUUUGUAAAUAAAUUCUACACACACAUGGCUCACAAA